rnacentral:tRNA from 1 species
CCUGGUGGCUUAGAUGGUAAAGAAUCUGCCUGCAAAGCAGGAGACCCAGGUUCAAUCCCUGGGUCAGGA